AUUGAACGCUGGCGGCAGGCCUAACACAUGCAAGUCGAACGAGCGGCGGACGGGUGAGUAAUGUAUGGGGACUGCCCGAUAGAGGGGGAUAACUCCUGGAAACGGUGGCUAAUACCGCAUACUCUCGGAUUACCCCUAUGUGAUUAGAUAGUAGGUAUGGUAAUGGCUCACCUAGGCGACGCUCCCUAGCUGGUCUGAGAGGAGGAUCAGCCACACUGGAACUGAGACACGGCCCAGACUCCUACGGAGGCAGCAGUGGGGAAUAUUGCACAAUGGGGGCAAGCCUGAUGCAGCCAUGCCGCGUGUAUGAAGAAGGCCGUAGGGUUGUAAAGUACUUUCAGUCGGGAGGCGUUACCGGCAGAAGAAGCACCGGCUAACUCCGUGCCAGCAGCCGCGGUAAUAC
rnacentral:rRNA from 1 species